rnacentral:rRNA from 1 species
UACGAAGGGGGCUAGCGUUGCUCGGAAUUACUGGGCGUAAAGCGCACGUAGGCGGCUCUUUAAGUCGGGGGUGAAAUCCUGGAGCUCAACUCCAGAACUGCCUUCGAUACUGGAGAGCUUGAGUUCGGGAGAGGUGAGUGGAACUGCGAGUGUAGAGGUGAAAUUCGUAGAUAUUCGCAAGAACACCAGUGGCGAAGGCGGCUCACUGGCCCGGUACUGACGCUGAUGCGCGAAAGCGUGGGGAGCAAACGGG